rnacentral:pre_miRNA from 1 species
GGAGUGCCAGAUCUUGGGCUGUGUCCCCGGCACCCUGUGCUCCUGGGCCUGCGCCACUGGAAUCGCGCUCCCAGUUUUGGUAGUUU